rnacentral:rRNA from 1 species
AGUGAACGCUGGCGGCAGGCCUAACACAUGCAAGUCGAACGGCAGCACAAGAGAGCUUGCUCUCUGGGUGGCGAGUGGCGGACGGGUGGGGAAUGCAUCGGAAUCUGCCCAUUUGUGGGGGAUAACCUCGGGAAACCGGGACUAAUACCGCAUACGACCUACGGGUGAAAGCAGGGGAUCUUCGGACCUUGCGCAGAUGGAUGAGCCGAUGCCGGAUUAGCUAGUUGGAGGGGUAAAGGCCCACCAAGGCGACGAUCCGUAGCUGGUCUGAGAGGAUGAUCGGCCACACUGGGACUGAGACACGGCCCAGACUCCUACGGGAGGCAGCAGUGGGGAAUAUUGGACAAUGGGCGCAAGCCUGAUCCAGCCAUGCCGCGUGUGUGAAGAAGGCCUUCGGGUUGUAAAGCACUUUUGUUGGGAAAGAAAAGCAGCCGGUUAAUACCCGGUUGUCAUGACGGUACCCAAAGAAUAAGCACCGGCUAACUUCGUG